CCCUUAGAUGUUCUGGGCUGCACGCGCGCUACACUGAAGCGUUCAACGAGUAUUCACCUUGCCCGGGAGGGUUGGGUAAUCUUUUGAAAACGCUUCGUGAUGGGGAUAGAUUAUUGCAAUUAUUAAUCUUCAACGAGGAACUCCUAGUAAGCGCGAGUCAUCAGCUCGUGCUGAUUACGUCCCUGCCCUUUGUACACACCGCCCGUCGCUCCUACCGAUUGAGUGCUCAGGUGAAUAAUUCGGACUGCAGCAAUGUUUGGAUCCCGAACGUUGCAGCGGAAAGUUUAGUGAACCUUAUCAUUUAGAGGAAGGAGAAGUCGUAACA
rnacentral:rRNA from 1 species